CCCUUAGAUGUUCCGGGCCGCACGCGUGCUACACUGAGUGGAUCAGCGGGUCAGGUUGCGCGAAAGCGUUUCCUAAUCUUUAAAUCCGCUCGUGAUGGGGAUUGACGGUUGCAAUUUUCUGUCAUGAACGAGGAAUACCUUGUAAGCGCGGGUCAUCAUCCCGCGCUGAAUACGUCCCUGCCCCUUGUACACACCGCCCGUCGCUCCUACCGAUUGAGUGGUCCGGUGAGGCUUUGGGAUCUGAGCGGAAAGAGCGUUUCGCUGUUUCUGCUCGGAAAACUCAGUCGAACCUUAUCAUUUAGAGGAAGGAGAAGUCGUAACA
rnacentral:rRNA from 1 species